AAGUGCCUUCUCUGUAUUCCCACAGCACCAACAGGGUGGAAACCAGAUAGUCCAAUGGGGCUGAUAUUCAUUCCCAUUGGACAAUCAUUUCUUCUGCCCCCAUUGCUGCUGGAUAACCACAGAGUUGCAGGUGAGGUCCUGACCAUGGUCAGGAAACUAUGCUGACACCAACAAAGGAAGCAGCAAACUGUGACCUAUGUAGCCUGAUGAGAACAACUGACCUCUUCUGUGCCUCUAGGACUAUCUCAAGAACAGCAUUAGCAGGAAGGCUUGGAGUUUUAGGCUUGUUAAUUUUGGUUUUGAUAUAUUAAUGCAUGGUACAAUUGAUGCAAUUUUGGAUCAAAAGCUAUUUCACUUUACAAAAUUGGAACCAGAAAGAUUUUUUUUAAAAAAAUAAAUAAAUAAACUAUAUGGUGUGAUAAUA